rnacentral:misc_RNA from 1 species
UUUCCGUAGGUGAACCUGCGGAAGGAUCAUUACAGAGUUCAUGCCCUCACGGGUAGAUCUCCCACCCUUGAAUAUUUAUACCUUAGUUGCUUUGGCAGGCCGUGGAAACACCAUGGGCUCCGGCUUAUGCGUGCCUGCCAGAGGAAACAAACUCUGUUUUUAGUGAUGUCUGAGUACUAUAUAAUAGUUAAAACUUUCAACAAUGGAUCUCUUGGUUCUG